ACACCUCAACCCUCGUGGUUUGCCACGAUCGGCUUGGACUUUGGAGGUUUUGCUGACCCUGUGGUCAGCUCCUCUCAAAUGAAUCAGCUUACCAGUGUUUGGUGGCGUCGCAGGUGUGAUAACUAUCUACGCUUGCAGCCGUCUGCCAUGCAACCUUCAGUGAUGGGGGUUCGCUGGAGCUUACAGAUGUCUCUCCUGAGUGAAGACAGCUUUUUGAAC
rnacentral:misc_RNA from 1 species